rnacentral:lncRNA from 1 species
GUUCUCUCAGUAGAAACUGUUGUUGUCAGGGUGAGAAUCCAGAAACCUGUGGUGCCUCCUUUUCUUAUGGUUGUUCUUGGAGCAUGUACUAUAAUGGAUGUAAGUUUGCCAGAAGCAAGAACCCAAGGAAAUUUAGGCUACAUGGAGAUGAGCCAAAAGAGGAAGAGAAACUUGGCUCUCACUUGCAAAACCUGGCUACUGUUAUUGCUCCCAUAUACAAGAAACUUGCACCUGAUGCCUACAGGAAUCAGCACAACUUCGGCUUUCGGGAUCUGUCAUCCAGCAGCCACAGUCACUCC